rnacentral:rRNA from 1 species
ACGCUGGCGGCAGGCCUAACACAUGCAAGUCGAGCGGAUGAGGGUAGCUUGCUACCUGAUUCAGCGGCGGACGGGUGAGUAAUGCCUAGGAAUCUGCCCGAUAGUGGGGGAUAACGUUCCGAAAGGAACGCUAAUACCGCAUACGUCCUACGGGAGAAAGCGGGGGAUCUUCGGACCUCGCGCUAUCGGAUGAGCCUAGGUCGGAUUAGCUAGUUGGUGAGGUAAAGGCUCACCAAGGCGACGAUCCGUAGCUGGUCUGAGAGGAUGAUCAGCCACACUGGAACUGAGACACGGUCCAGACUCCUACGGGAGGCAGCAGUGGGGAAUAUUGGACAAUGGGCGAAAGCCUGAUCCAGCCAUGCCGCGUGUGUGAAGAAGGUCUUCGGAUUGUAAAGCACUUUAAGUUGGGAGGAAGGGUUGUAACCUAAUACGUUGCAACUUUGACGUUACCGACAGAAUAAGCACCGGCUAACUUCGUGCCAGCAGCCGCGGUAAUACGAAGGGUGCAAGCGUUAAUCGGAAUUACUGGGCGUAAAGCGCGCGUAGGUGGUUUGAUAAGUUGGAUGUGAAAGCCCCGGGCUCAACCUGGGAAUUGCAUCCAAAACUGUCUGACUAGAGUACGGUAGAGGGUAGUGGAAUUUCCUGUGUAGCGGUGAAAUGCGUAGAUAUAGGAAGGAACACCAGUGGCGAAGGCGACUACCUGGAC